UUGAACGCUGGCGGCAGGCCUAACACAUGCAAGUCGAACGGUAACAGGAAACAGCUUGCUGUUUCGCUGACGAGUGGCGGACGGGUGAGUAAUGUCUGGGAAACUGCCUGAUGGAGGGGGAUAACUACUGGAAACGGUAGCUAAUACCGCAUAACGUCGCAAGACCAAAGAGGGGGACCUUCGGGCCUCUUGCCAUCGGAUGUGCCCAGAUGGGAUUAGCUUGUUGGUGGGGUAACGGCUCACCAAGGCGACGAUCCCUAGCUGGUCUGAGAGGAUGACCAGCCACACUGGAACUGAGACACGGUCCAGACUCCUACGGGAGGCAGCAGUGGGGAAUAUUGCACAAUGGGCGCAAGCCUGAUGCAGCCAUGCCGCGUGUAUGAAGAAGGCCUUCGGGUUGUAAAGUACUUUCAGCGGGGAGGAAGGGAGUAAAGUUAAUACCUUUGCUCAUUGACGUUACCCGCAGAAGAAGCACCGGCUAACUCCGUGCCAGCAGCCGCGGUAAUACGGAGGGUGCAAGCGUUAAUCGGAAUUACUGGGCGUAAAGCGCACGCAGGCGGUUUGUUAAGUCAGAUGUGAAAUCCCCGGGCUCAACCUGGGAACUGCAUCUGAUACUGGCAAGCUUGAGUCUCGUAGAGGGGGGUAGAAUUCCAGGUGUAGCGGUGAAAUGCGUAGAGAUCUGGAGGAGUACCGGUGGCGAAGGCGGCCCCCUGGACGAAGACUGACGCUCAGGUGCGAAAGCGUGGGGAGCAAACAGGAUUAGAUACCCUGGUAGUCCACGCCGUAAACGAUGUCGACUUGGAGGUUGUGCCCUUGAGGCGUGGCUUCCGGAGCUAACGCGUUAAGUCGACCGCCUGGGGAGUACGGCCGCAAGGUUAAAACUCAAAUGAAUUGACGGGGGCCCGCACAAGCGGUGGAGCAUGUGGUUUAAUUCGAUGCAACGCGAAGAACCUUACCUGGUCUUGACAUCCACGGAAGUUUUCAGAGAUGAGAAUGUGCCUUCGGGAACCGUGAGACAGGUGCUGCAUGGCUGUCGUCAGCUCGUGUUGUGAAAUGUUGGGUUAAGUCCCGCAACGAGCGCAACCCUUAUCCUUUGUUGCCAGCGGUCCGGCCGGGAACUCAAAGGAGACUGCCAGUGAUAAACUGGAGGAAGGUGGGGAUGACGUCAAGUCAUCAUGGCCCUUACGACCAGGGCUACACACGUGCUACAAUGGCGCAUACAAAGAGAAGCGACCUCGCGAGAGCAAGCGGACCUCAUAAAGUGCGUCGUAGUCCGGAUUGGAGUCUGCAACUCGACUCCAUGAAGUCGGAAUCGCUAGUAAUCGUGGAUCAGAAUGCCACGGUGAAUACGUUCCCGGGCCUUGUACACACCGCCCGUCACACCAUGGGAGUGGGUUGCAAAAGAAGUAGGUAGCUUAACCUUCGGGAGGGCGCUUACCACUUUGUGAUUCAUGACUGGGGUG
rnacentral:rRNA from 1 species